rnacentral:lncRNA from 1 species
AGUUCCCCGGGUCUGCCCUCCGGCCCUUCUUGUAGAUGGGCGUCAUGUUUGCUAGCCGCCAGUCAACUGGGACCUCCCCUGAUAGCCAGGACUGUUGAUAAAUGAUGGAAAGUGGCUUGGCCAGCUCCUCUGCCAGUUCUCUCAGUACCCUCGGGUGGAUCCCAUCUGGCCCCAUCGACUUGCGCACAUCCAAGUGCUGUAGCAGGUCACCAACCAUUUCUUAGUGGAUAUUGAGGGCCACAUUCUGCUCCCCAUCCCCUUCUGCCAGCUCAGGGUACUGGGUAUCCAGAGAACAACCGGUAUUGCCGCUAAAGACUGAGGCAAAGAAGGCAUUAAGCACCUUAAAGAAGGCAUUAAGCAACCUUAGAGGACAAAGUAGUACACAUGUUGAAGGCCUGAAAAGUCAGGCAAGGAUUGCAAGAUGUAAAGAACAUCGAGAAGGAGAACAAAAAAAAAACACGUGUGAAAGCAAAAGAGCUAAAUGAAUUAAAUUAAUCUUUUGCACUGGUGCUUAUGAAAAAAGGAAAAAUUAGCUUGAGGAAGGGGACCAGAAGGGGAUAAAUUUGAGGAGUUUUCAGCUUACAGUGUCUGUAGAACUUAUUUAAGAACAAAAUGGCAAAAGGAGUAGUAAUAUAUUCUGACAAUUAGGGAGGCCAAAUAAAGUUGUCUGGCAUGAGGCCCAAAAUAGACAAAAGGAACACUGUUUCUCAGAAUAUAUAACAUAACUUUGGAACUCACUGUUGCCCCACUUAGUAAAUGCAAAGUUAUUAAUGGGUUUACAAGGUAAUUAUUACAGCGAUAAAAGAUACCCACCGAAGGCUAUUAAGCAAAGUUGUACUGAUGUAAUCUCAAACUCAAGAAGUGUCUAAACCAUAAAUAGAUGAACAUUGGCAGUAUGUACCACAAGAAUCAUCACUCUACACUUGCACCAUUUCCUAAUCAUCUACUCAUGACCAUCACUGAAGACAAGAUGGAGUGUGAGGUGGGUCUCGGCUCUGAUACAGCUCAGCUGCUCUUGUGUUCCAGGUACUCCAGCAAGAGUACUUUCAGAGUCCACAAUUUCAAACUCCACUCUGGUCAGACCAGGACAAGGCAUUGCUGUUCAAAUGAGGACUGAGACUCACGUAUUCACAGGACACCAGAGACCAAGCUCUCAAACAAAAUUACAUACAAUUACACCACAGUUAAACCACAACUUGCAACUAUUGCAAUAAAAAUCUUCAUUGUAUGUCUACCUCA